rnacentral:tRNA from 1 species
GUUUUAAUAAUUUAAAUAAAAUUUUGGUCUUGUAAACCAAAUAUAAAAAAAAUCUUUUAAAACU